UGAUUUCCAAUCCAUUAUUGGACGACACCGUUUCCCAGCAUGCACUGCGGCUCAAAAUGUAUCUUUUUAAAAGAAAAAAGAAUAGAAAAACCCUUCUUGUAUUUUCCAUGUAGUUGUAUUUUUACUUGUCUUCAUAUUUUAUUUAAAAGUAACAUAUAAAAUUCAAGUUUGCCAAAGCACACUAAAAUGAAUUAGAGUUGAAACCAUGAGUUACAAGCAUGGUCAAAUGGCAGGGUAUAAAAGGGGAUCGGCGACAAUGCGUUAUUGGAUCAGUCGGGCAGUGUGCAAUGUCUGCGGGCCUCACUGCUUGCAGCAUGGCCGCUUGUGCUGCAAGUAAGCGGAAUGAGUAUCCCAAUGCAACCUAGGUGCUAAGGUAUAUGACACAAGAACAAAUGGCACAUACACUUCACAUUGCACAACACUGAUGAUGCAAUAUUCAGACGUCAUAAACAUCAAAGGAUAAUGAAUGCACCCCCCUUAGCACUGAGCGCCAUUGCUGAUUCCUUAGCCAAGAUGCAUUGCAUGCUGUCCGACUGGUCCGGAGCAGGGCUGACUAGCCAGUGCUUUUUCUGAAUCUGUGUAUUAUUUGUUUUUCUACUUAAAAACGAAAAACUAACCUUUUUCUUUUUUUUUCAUUUUUCGAUUCAAAAUCCAAAACGAAAAUCGGAUAGCAGGACUUCGAUUUCGUUUUUCGUAAUAUCGUUUUUGACACGUGAGGAACCCAAGUAGUUUCCGCAGAUUCUUAUGGUGAAAAUCUGAUGCUCUGAUCAUUUUGUUUAUUGAUUUUUGACCGUAAAAGAAAAAUCAGAGACCGGAGGACAUGAUAAUACACCCAUUCUAGGUCCUUUGGAGGAGCCACUUUUCCUGAACCUGCUGCAUAAGCCUGACUGGUUGUUGAGGAGAGGAGCCGUGAUUUCUGCCUGAAGUGACGGUCUGAUGAGCUGCAAAACAACAUCCAGAAGGAGCAUCAAGCACUCUGUCAACUCCAAACACCAAGUUAAUGUUCAGUCAAACCUGCUGUUUAAAGGGUUCAUAUUGGGUGUUCUUUAUUUAGGAGUUAGUUUUUACUGGCUCCAUGUUUAACAUUUUGAGUCUUAAAGCUUUUUUAUAAAAGUUGAUGUUGACAUUUUCAAAGAAGUUUAGAAAUGUCUCUUCUUGCAGGUAAAAACUAAAUCCUAACAUGAGCAUUGUAAUAAUAGAUAUGAAAAUAAACAAAAUGGUUUCAUGGCAA